rnacentral:rRNA from 1 species
UAGGGAAUCUUCGGCAAUGGGGGCAACCCUGACCGAGCAACGCCGCGUGAGUGAAGAAGGUUUUCGGAUCGUAAAGCUCUGUUGUAAGAGAAGAACGUGUGUGAGAGUGGAAAGUUCACACAGUGACGGUAACUUACCAGAAAGGGACGGCUAACUACGUGCCAGCAGCCGCGGUAAUACGUAGGUCCCGAGCGUUGUCCGGAUUUAUUGGGCGUAAAGCGAGCGAAGGCGGUUUAAUAAGUCUGAAGUUAAAGGCAGUGGCUUAACCAUUGUUCGCUUUGGAAACUGUUAAUCUUGAGUGCAGAAGGGGAGAGUGGAAUUCCAUGUGUAGCGGUGAAAUGCGUAGAUAUAUGGAGGAACACCGGUGGCGAAAGCGGCUCUCUGGUCUGUAACUGACGCUGAGGCUCGAAAGCGUGGGGAGCAAACAGG